UGAGAUGUGGAAAGCAGGAUCAUAUGGCUAAACAUUGUGUAAAGGUGCCAUGUGUGCCCAAUUGCGAAGCAGCGAGCUGGACAUAGAUGUUGCUAUUUUAAGCGAGCAGUGUAAAAACAGUACCGAUUUAGGUACCUUUAUAUAGUGGACGUACUUAAUGACGCUAAGCAAAGAAACUCGACACUUAUAACAGGUAAUUUUAAUGCGAGGGCAGCAUUGUGGUAAAAGAAAAAAACUCGAAGGGCAAGAAGUUUCUGAAUGCGCUAGCAGUGCUUGACUUAGUUCUACUCAACAGUGGCACAGAAAACACAUUCAGCAAAAUUGUACUGGUUCCAUCAUAGACCUCUCAUUUAUAAAUAGGGUACUGAAAACGAGAGAUGGCACAUGACGAUACAAGAACUGUCCAAGCCAGAAAUAUAAAUAGCGACCCUCGUAUUCCCAACAUCAAUAUACCAGCAGAUUAUAAUGAAGUUACGUUUCCUCACGGCAACUGGAUUUCCCGGCAUCUUAGAAGUUAUGCAGACUGCGUUCAAGUCGAAUUGAGUAUAUAAGGUGGCGCCAUUAGAAAACAGUUUCUUUAUAUUUCGCGAUUUUGACAAGUUGACGUCAGCUCUUUUCGCAAUACAAAACAAACGCACGAAACAAACAAAAGCAGGAGAUAUUACAUGUUUGUGAAAAUUCAUUGAAUGGCUAGGUAAUAUUGUGAUUUGUGAGAUUUAAACCUAUCAAACUAAUGAAAACGAAGUGCCGUGUGUUACAUUGUGAAAGCACAAUGUGAUAUAAAGCCUCCAAAUUCAGUUUGCUUGCGUGUUUAUGCGGAAGACGCCGUGGCAAGAAAGUAUGUGUGUGCGUGUUAAAUAAAUCUUCCCCUUUUUCAAUUCAUGUUUAAAAUUUAAUAAACAUGUUUUUUAUUCCACAUAUUUUCCAUUCACAUAUAAAAUAGAAUAAAAGACUUUUUGCAAGCUUUUAUUAUAAAAUGCUCACAUAUGUAUAUGUAAUAUAAGUAUAAAGGCAUAUGUAAUAUAUGCAGAGUCAAUAUUUACAUUAAAAUAAUAAAUACAUAAAUACUUAAUACAUCACAAAAUAAAAAAAAAAUUAUUUUACACACAAACUCUAAUGUAAAAUUAGAGGCACUUAUUGGUGAUAACAGAAAUAUUUAAAGGAUUUUUCCUUAUAAAAGAAAUACGACUUUUGUCGUUGGCUGUGUUUUCACAACUGAAUCUCUUUAUUCAAUUCCUUUUCUUAUAUUCUAAAAUUUCAAUUUACUUAUUAACUAAAAAUGUCGGUUUUUUGCUUACUAAUCAUAAGUGAGUCAAUAAAUUAGGUUGAAUUGCAUUUUCGUCGUGAUAACGGAAAUGCAGUUGAUUUGGAAAUAAUAUUAAGUUACAUUUUUGUCAAGUGGCAUAAGUAUGU